rnacentral:rRNA from 1 species
GCCUAACACAUGCAAGUCGCACGAGAACGCUCUAGCUUGCUAGAGCUAGUAAAGUGGCGCACGGGUGAGUAACGCGUGGGUAAUCCACCCCUGGGUGGGGGAUAACGUUCCGAAAGGGACGCUAAUACCGGAUAAGACCACAGUGUCUGCGGUCACAGAGGUCAAAGUGGGCCUCUUCAUGAAAGCUCACACCUGGGGACGAGCCCGCGUCCCAUUAGCUUGUUGGUGAGGUAACGGCUCACCAAGGCCACGAUGGGUAGCUGGUCUGAGAGGAUGAUCAGUCACACUGGGACUGGAACACGGCCCAGACUCCUACGGGAGGCAGCAGUGAGGAAUCUUGCGCAAUGGGGGAAACCCUGACGCAGCCACGCCGCGUGGGUGAUGAAGGCCUUCGGGUCGUAAAGCCCUGUCAGGUGGGAAGAACCGCAAUUUGGCUAAUAUCCUGAUUGCCUGACGGUACCACCAAAGGAAGCACCGGCUAACUCCGUGCCAGCAGCCGCGGUAAUACGGAGGGUGCAAGCGUUGUUCGGAAUUACUGGGCGUAAAGCGUGUGUAGGCGGCCAGAUAAGUCUGAUGUGAAAUCCCUGGGCUCAACUGAGGAACUGCAUCCGAUACUGUCUGGCUUGAGUCUCGGAGAGGGUUGUGGAAUUCCCGGUGUAGAGGUGAAAUUCGUAGAUAUCGGGAGGAACACCAGUGGCGAAGGCGACAACCUGGACGAAGACUGACGCUGAGACACGAAAG